rnacentral:rRNA from 1 species
UAUAGAUGGAUCCGCGCUGCAUUAGCUAGUUGGUAAGGUAACGGCUUACCAAGGCAACGAUGCAUAGCCGACCUGAGAGGGUGAUCGGCCACACUGGAACUGAGACACGGUCCAGACUCCUACGGGAGGCAGCAGUAGGGAAUCUUCCGCAAUGGGCGAAAGCCUGACGGAGCAACGCCGCGUGAGUGAUGAAGGUCUUCGGAUCGUAAAACUCUGUUAUUAGGGAAGAA